rnacentral:rRNA from 1 species
GACGAACGCUGGCGGCGUGCCUAAUGCAUGCAAGUCGAGCGAACAGACGAGGAGCUUGCUCCUCUGACGUUAGCGGCGGACGGGUGAGUAACACGUGGAUAACCUACCUAUAAGACUGGGAUAACUUCGGGAAACCGGAGCUAAUACCGGAUAAUAUAUUGAACCGCAUGGUUCAAUAGUGAAAGACGGUUUUGCUGUCACUUAUAGAUGGAUCCGCGCCGCAUUAGCUAGUUGGUAAGGUAACGGCUUACCAAGGCGACGAUGCGUAGCCGACCUGAGAGGGUGAUCGGCCACACUGGAACUGAGACACGGUCCAGACUCCUACGGGAGGCAGCAGUAGGGAAUCUUCCGCAAUGGGCGAAAGCCUGACGGAGCAACGCCGCGUGAGUGAUGAAGGUCUUCGGAUCGUAAAACUCUGUUAUUAGGGAAGAACAAAUGUGUAAGUAACUAUGCACGUCUUGACGGUACCUAAUCAGAAAGCCACGGCUAACUACGUG